rnacentral:sRNA from 1 species
GCUCUUAGGGUUCAUUAGUUCCGCUUAGAGAAAGCGUUGCCGCAGGCAACGACCCGAAGGGCGAAGCGCGCAGCGCUGAGUCAUCCUUCCCCCACCACCA